GGCCUGGUGGUGUGGUGGUCACACAUCUGCUUGCAGUGGAGGCUCCAUCCAGACGAUUUCGGCAGAAGUCCCUUGUUCGACUCAAGGCCAGGCCA